UACGGAGGGUGCAAGCGUUGUCCGGAAUCACUGGGCGUAAAGGGCGCGUAGGCGGCUCAUGAAGGCUGUGGUGAAAGUCCGGGGCUCAACCUCGGAUCGGCCGUGGCGACUCGUGGGCUGGAGCACUGUAGAGGCAGGCGGAAUUCCGGGUGGUAGCGGUGGAAUGCGUAGAGAUCCGGAAGAACACCAGUGGCGAAGGCGCCCGCUGGGCAGUGGCUGACGCUGAAGCGCGAC
rnacentral:rRNA from 1 species